rnacentral:rRNA from 1 species
AACGAACGCUGGCGGCGUGCCUAACACAUGCAAGUCGAACGUGAUUGAGAGCUUGCUCUCAUGAAAGUGGCGCACGGGUGAGUAACGCGUAGAUAAUCUACCUGGUGAUCCGGGAUAACACCUCGAAAGGGGUGCUAAUACCUGAUAAGCCCACGGGGUCUUCGGACUCUGCGGGAAAAGGGGGGGACCUUUAGGCCUUCCGUCAUCAGAUGAGUCUGCGUACCAUUAGCUGGUUGGUAGGGUAAAGGCCUACCAAGGCGACGAUGGUUAGCUGGUCUGGGAGGAUGAUCAGCCAAACUGGAACUGAGACACGGUCCAGACUCCUACGGGGGGCAGCAGUGGGGAAUUUUGCGCAAUGGGGGAAACCCUGACGCAGCAACGCCGCGUGAGUGAUGAAGGCCCUUGGGUCGUAAAGCUCUGACAGAGGGAAAGAAGUGCAGGGGAGCUAAUAUCUCCUUUGCUUGACGGUACCCUCAAAGGAAGCACCGGCUAACUCCGUGCCAGCCGCCGCCGUAAGAC